AGAGUUUGAUCCUGGCUCAGGACGAACGUUGGCGGCGUGCUUAACACAUGCAAGUCGAGCGGUUGAGAGGUGGGAGUUGAGAAGUUAGAAGUGGGAGAAAGAUGUAAGACAGGGAUAACGCCGGGAAACCGGUGCUAAUACCGGAUAACCUCUUUGAAUCGCAUGGUUUGAAGAGAAAAAGGUGGCCUCUUUACAAUGCUACCACUUACAGAUGAAUCCGCGUCCCAUUAGCCAGUUGGUGGGGUAAUGGCCUACCAAAGCAACGAUGGGUAGCCGGCCUGAGAGGGUGACCGGCCACACUGGAACUGAGAUACGGUCCAGACUCCUACGGGAGGCAGCAGUGGGGAAUCUUCCGCAAUGGGCGAAAGCCUGACGGAGCAACGCCGCGUGAGCGAAGAAGGUCUUCGGAUUGUAAAGCUCUGUCCUUGGUGACGAAAAAAAUGACGGUAGCCAAGGAGGAAGCCCCGGCUAACUACGUGCCAGCAGCCGCGGUAAUACGUAGGGGGCGAGCGUUGUCCGGAAUUACUGGGCGUAAAGGGUGCGUAGGUGGCCUUUUAAGUUGGAUGUGAAAUACCCGGGCUUAACCUGGGGGGUGCAUCUAAUACUGGGAGGCUAGAGUGCAGGAGAGGAAAGCGGAAUUCCUAGUGUAGCGGUGAAAUGCGUAGAUAUUAGGAGGAACACCAGUGGCGAAGGCGACUUUCUGGACUGUAACUGACACUGAGGCACGAAAGCGUGGGGAGCAAACAGGAUUAGAUACCCUGGUAGUCCACGCGGUAAACGAUGAAUACUAGGUGUAGGGGGUAUCAACUCCCCCUGUGCCGGAGCUAACGCAAUAAGUAUUCCGCCUGGGGAGUACGGCCGCAAGGUUGAAACUCAAAGGAAUUGACGGGGGCCCGCACAAGCAGCGGAGCAUGUGGUUUAAUUCGAAGCAACGCGAAGAACCUUACCAAGGCUUGACAUCCACUUAAACGCAUGGAAACAUGCGGUCUCUUCGGAGGAAGUGAGACAGGUGGUGCAUGGUUGUCGUCAGCUCGUGUCGUGAGAUGUUGGGUUAAGUCCCGCAACGAGCGCAACCCUUAUCCUUAGUUGCCAUCAUUUAGUUGGGCACUCUAAAGAGACUGCCGGUGUCAAACCGGAGGAAGGUGGGGAUGACGUCAAGUCCUCAUGGCCCUUAUGACCAGGGCUACACACGUACUACAAUGGCCGGUACAAAGGGCAGCAAAGCCGCGAGGGGGAGCCAAUCCCAUAAAACCGGUCGUAGUCCGGAUCGUAGUCUGCAACUCGACUGCGUGAAGUCGGAAUCGCUAGUAAUCGCGGAUCAGCUUGCCGCGGUGAAUACGUUCCCGGGUCUUGUACACACCGCCCGUCACACCAUGGGAGCGGGUUCUGCCAGAAGUAGUUAGCCUAACCGCAAGGAGGGCGAUUACCACGGCAGGGUUCGUGACUGGGGUGAAGUCGUAACAAGGUAACC
rnacentral:rRNA from 1 species